CUAAUGUCAAACCCCCGGGACUCCUAAUGCCUCUAUCCGUACCCAAGAAACCAUGGACCCACUUACCCAUGGACUUUAUUGUGGAUCUUGCUUCAUCCGAUGGAAUGACAGUAAUUUUGACUGUGACUGAUAGAUUCUCUAAAAUGGCACACUUUAUUCCACUUAAGAAACUACCUUCUGCGGUUCAGUUGGCUCAGGUAUUUGCCAAAG